rnacentral:misc_RNA from 1 species
AAACUGCGAUAAGUAGCGUGAAUUGCAGACGCUUUGAACGUUAAACUUUCGAACGCACAUUGCGCCAUCGGAGUCCUACCCGAUGGCACAUCUGGUUGAGGGUCGUGAUCAAGAAAACAGCUAGUCAAGGGCUGAAGUAGAACGAAGUGGUGAAUCAUGAAGCCGGCGUACGCCAAGCGCAUGGCCGUGUUUUGCCAUCAUGUUAAAAGAGGUUGCAUCGUAGCAACUUGCCACACGGACGGGCUUUCCAGCUGGGCUGGGCGUCCCGCCACUGGGUAUCGUGAGCAUAUCUAUAUACUCAGAGGUUUGCGGACGGCGGCUGGGCAUGCCUCGUACGUGAUUGGCGUGCACAGGGCUCUGCCCUCGGAUUCCCGACCUCAACUCAGGUGUGAUUACCCGC